UGAGUCCGCAUGUUCACAUGAUUAAAGGUAUUCCGGUAGACGAUGGGGAUGCGUUCCAUUAGAUAGUAGGCGGGGUAACGGCCCACCUAGUCUUCGAUGGAUAGGGGUUCUGAGAGGAAGGUCCCCCACAUUGGAACUGAGACACGGUCCAAACUCCUACGGGAGGCAGCAGUGAGGAAUAUUGGUCAAUGGGCGAGAGCCUGAACCAGCCAAGUAGCGUGAAGGAUGACUGCCCUAUGGGUUGUAAACUUCUUUUAUACGGGAAUAAAGUGAGGCACGUGUGCCUUUUUGUAUGUACCGUAUGAAUAAGGAUCGGCUAACUCCGUGCCAGCAGCCGCGGUAAUACGGAGGAUCCGAGCGUUAUCCGGAUUUAUUGGGUUUAAAGGGAGCGUAGGCGGACGCUUAAGUCAGUUGUGAAAGUUUGCGGCUCAACCGUAAAAUUGCAGUUGAUACUGGGUGUCUUGAGUACAGUAGAGGCAGGCGGAAUUCGUGGUGUAGCGGUGAAAUGCUUA
rnacentral:rRNA from 1 species